rfam:Bacillus cereus ATCC 14579, complete genome.
AGAAAAAAAACCCUGCAUAGCAGGGCCCUUCUUAUACUAGCAUGUACUAGUAAGAAGGCAAAGGGAGAGGAGAAACCGGAGGAAGAACUUAUGGGGAAACGUAAGUCUUCUCCGCGG